UGGUCAAGUUAUUAAGGGUGCAGGGCGGAUGCCUUGGCACUAGGAGCCGAUGAAGGACGUGAUAAGCUGCGAUAAGCUUCGGGGAGUUGCACGUAAACUUUGAUCCGAAGAUUUCCGAAUGAGGAAACUCACUUAGAGUAAUGUCUAAGUAUCAUUAAGUGAAUACAUAGCUUAAUGAGGGGAACUCAGGAACUGAAACAUCUAAGUACCUGAAGGAAGAGAAAGAAAUUCGAUUCCGUAAGUAGCGGCGAGCGAACGCGGAUUAGCCCAAACCAAUAAAGUUUUCUUUAUUGGGGUUGCGGACAUAUCAUAACGAAGAGGUAUCGUAAUUGAAGAGGUUUGGAAAGACCCACCACAGAAGGUAAUAGUCCUGUAUGUUAAACGAGAAGACUUCAGAUAUGAUCCAGAGUACCACGGGACACGUGAAACCCUGUGGGAAGCAGGAGGGACCACCCUCCAAGGCUAAAUACUACCUAGUGACCGAUAGCGUAUAGUACCGUGAGGGAAAGGUGAAAAGAACCCCGGGAGGGGAGUGAAAUAGAACCUGAAACCCUGCACUUACAAGCUGUGGAAGCACAUUUCUUGUGUGACCGCGUACUUUUUUGUAGAACGGGCCAACGAGUUACGUUAAGUAGCAAGGUUAAGCACUUAAGGUGUGGAGCCGUAGCGAAAGCGAGUUUUAACUGAGCGUUCAGUUACUUGACGUAGACCCGAAACCGGGCGACCUACCCAUGAGCAGGAUGAAGCGAAAGUAAAAUUUCGUGGAGGUCCGAACCCACGAGCGUUGAAAAGCUCGGGGAUGACUUGUGGGUAGCGGUGAAAUUCCAAUCGAGCCCGGAGAUAGCUGGUUCUCCCCGAAAUAGCUUUAGGGCUAGCCUCAAGGUGAGAGAUACGGAGGUAGAGCACUGAAUGUCCUAGGGGGUAUUGCACCUACCGAAGACUAUCAAACUCCGAAUGCCGUCAUCUUAUACUUGGGAGUCAGACUGUGGGUGAUAAGAUUCAUAGUCGAAAGGGCAACAGCCCAGAUCGUCAGCUAAGGUCCCUAAAUGUAAGUUAAGUGGUAAAGGAUGUGGGAUUGCACAGACAACCAGGAUGUUGGCUUAGAAGCAGCCACUCAUUCAAAGAGUGCGUAAUAGCUCACUGGUCGAGUGAUCCUGCGCCGAAGAUUUCCGGGGCUAAAACUUACUACCGAAGCUACGGCAUCAGUAAUGAUGGGUAGGGGAGCUUCCCAUACGGGUUGAAGCAUGACCGUAAGGACAUGUGGACAGUAUGGGAGUGAGAAUGUUGGCAUGAGUAGCGAGAUGUGGGUGAGAAUCCCACAGGCCGUAAACCCAAGGUUUCCAGGGGGAAGGUUCGUCCGCCCUGGGUUAGUCGGGACCUAAGCUGAGGCCGAAAGGCGUAGGUGAUGGACAACAGGUUGAUAUUCCUGUACUACCGAUAACCGUUUGAGAGAAGGGAUGACACAGUAGGAUAAGCUAAGCACACUGUUGGUUAUGUGUGCCCAAGCAUUGAGGCAGUCAAAGUAGGCAAAUCCGCUUUGAUAAUGCUGGGAUGUGAUGGGGAGCGAAAUUUAGUAGCGAAGUAGCUGAUUUCACACUGUCAAGAAAAGUCUCUAUCGAGGUUAAAGGUACCCGUACCGCAAACCGACACAGGUGGGUGAGGAGAGUAUCCUAAGGCCAGCGAGAGAACUGUUGUUAAGGAACUCGGCAAAAUGACCCCGUAACUUAGGGAUAAGGGGUGCCACCAUCAGGUGGCCGCAGAGAAUAGGCCCAAGCGACUGUUUACCAAAAACAUAGGUUUCUGCUAAGUCGCAAGACGAUGUAUAGGAGCUGACGCCUGCCCGGUGCUGGAAGGUUAAGGGGAUCUGUUAGAGCAAUCGAAGCAGUGAACUUAAGCCCCAGUAAACGGCGGCCGUAACUAUAACGGUCCUAAGGUAGCGAAAUUCCUUGUCGGGUAAGUUCCGACCCGCACGAAAGGCGUAACGAUUUGGGCACUGUCUCAACAACAGACUCGGUGAAAUUGUAAUUCCGGUGAAGAUGCCGGAUACCUGCGACAGGACGGAAAGACCCCAUGGAGCUUUACUGUAGCUUGACAUUGGGUUUUGGUACUACAUGUACAGGAUAGGUGGGAGGCUUUGAAACCAGGACGCCAGUUUUGGCGGAGCCAUCCUUGGGAUACCACCCUUGUAGUACUGGGACUCUAACCAUAGGCCAUGAAUCUGGUCUUGGGACACUGUCAGGUGGGCAGUUUGACUGGGGCGGUCGCCUCCCAAAAGGUAACGGAGGCGCUCAAAGGUUCUCUCAGUACGGUCGGAAAUCGUACGUAGAGUGUAAAGGCAAAGAGAGCUUGAUUGCAAGACAUACAGGUCGAGCAAGGAUGAAAAUCGGACUUAGUGAUCCGGUGGUUCUGCGUGGAAGGGCCAUCGCUCAACGGAUAAAAGCUACCCUGGGGAUAACAGGCUUAUCUCCCCCAAGAGUCCACAUCGACGGGGAGGUUUGGCACCUCGAUGUCGGCUCAUCACAUCCUGGGGCUGUAGUAGGUCCCAAGGGUUGGGCUGUUCGCCCAUUAAAGUGGUACGCGAGCUGGGUUCAGAACGUCGUGAGACAGUUCGGUCCCUAUCCGUCGCAGGCGUAGGAAAUUUGAGAAGACCUGUCCUUAGUACGAGAGGACCGGGAUGGACGUACCUCUGGUGUACCAGUUGUUCUGCCAAGGGCAUGGCUGGGUAGCUAUGUACGGAAUGGAUAAGCGCUGAAAGCAUCUAAGCGCGAAGCCAACUUCAAGAUAAGAUUUCCCACCGCAAGGGUAAGAUCCCAGAAAGACUAUCUGGUUGAUAGGUCGAAGGUGUAAGUGCAGCAAUGUAUUUAGCUUAUCGAUACUAAUAGGUCGAGGACUUGACCAAUAUUAUUUGAUGUUCACUU
rnacentral:rRNA from 1 species